UCAUGAAGGCGGGCGUACGAGAGAAGCCGAACUUAACCGAAGUAUCAUAGCGAGCAUGUACGAGGACAUACGAAUACGACCGAAAGCUCAGCGAACGUGAGGUGGAGAAGCAACGUCGUUCGGUGUAGGAAGGACGCGAUAGGUUGAGUCCGUGGUGAGGAGUCCGAGCUUCUACGCCGUCGUUCCUUCGCGUUCAAGGAACGAUGAGGAGUAAUAUAAAAGAAUUACGAUAAGAAAAAGCAGCUUCGUGUGGCUGAAAAUAAAAGAAAUAAGGUCCAAUAAAAACCGAUACGAUAGAAAGGAAUUAAAAUUUGAAGAAACUUUUUUCUUUCGGUGGGAAGGAGGGUGGAAGGGAGGGAGGUGGGGAAAGGAGGGGAAGCACUGGGACUGGGACCCGCGCAUGUCCAUCUUCCCAAGUUGGUUAGUGUCGGUAAUGCUUUUAAUGCGUCGACGAAGUAAAAUAAGUUCAGGUCGUUAGACCGAGCGUGCUAAAGGAAACUCUAAUAUUAAUACGCGUGGGUGAAGAACAUAUGCGAUUGAAAGUUUGCCUUUUCUACUUUGUUACCCGGCAAAUCCUCCCUUGGCUCUUAUCAUCGUUUUUUUACUCAUCCUUUCCCUCUCUCUUUUUGGUGGCGGUAACAACCACCAGCAGCACCGGCAGCAGCAGUAGCAGCACCAGCAGCAGCAGCAGCACCACCACCACCACCACCACCAAUAUCACCACUACUACUAUCACCACCUUCACUACCACCCCCACUAUCACCCCCACUACCACCGGCUAAAGUUCUCGUCCCACCCCAGAAAGCUUCUUCCUCUCCCCCCGAAAAUAUGGUCGGAGGCGGUGGCGGUAGCGGUGGCGGUGUUGCUGCUGUUGCUGCUGCUGCUGCUGCUGCUGGUGGCGGCGUAGCGCGGGUGCGCGCGGAGCUGCCUUAACAGCGUUCGCUGCUGGACGACACAGUGGUGACUUUGGAGAGACACGAAGCUGCGGAAGGAAAGGGUCGCAAGCUCGAUCGUUCUCUAUUGGAUGGCUCGACGUGUAUUACUACUUGUCGUUUAGAAUAACAAAGAAAGAUAAAGAAAGAGAAACAAAAAAAGAGUUAAACGCAUAUUCGUAAAGGGGGAAAAAAAACUCGUCACCAUCAAGCGAACUUGAGUGUAUGAGAGAUAGAAAGAGAGAGAAAGAGAGAGAGGGAGAGAAGGAGAAAAAGAGAGAGAGAAAGAGAGAGAAAGAGUGUGUGAGAAAGAGUGACUAGAGAGAGAGAGAGAGAGAGAGAGAGAGAGAGAGAGAGAGAGAGAGAGAGAGAGCAAGAGAAAGAGAUAGAGUGCCGGUCGAUAGUGAGAUCCUUGUGCAAUUUCCUCCUCAUCCAAGAAGAUAGAAGAAGAGUUAAGGGCAAAGAAAGGAGUGUCUCGUCCUGGAUUAAAAGCUUUUAGUGUUCCUCGUGAUAUCCAGUGUUCGAAUUUUUUUUUAUCAUUCACAAGAGAAAGAAGGGGCAGAGAGAGAAAGAGAGAGAGAGAGAGAGAGAGUAAGAGAGAGAGAGAAAGAAAGAGAAAGAGAAAGAAAAGAAAUAGAAUAUAGCAACGUUGUUAAAAACACCGUUGUUUAAGAAGGAAAGACUUAGUGUCUCUUUCUAUCCGUUUCUCGUUCCAUCGCUUGUUUUUCCAACCUCUGUCGCAACGACGGCGGUCGAUCCAGAGCUCGAGGAAGCAAGUGGAAGGGAGGAGGCCGAGGCGCAGGAGGAGCAGCAGCAGCAAGAAGAGGUGGAGGAGGAAGAGGAGGAGAAAGAGGUGGAGGCGGCGGAGGAGGUGGAGGAAGAGGAGGUGGAGGAGAAAGAAGAGGUGAUUUCUACGUUCGAACGAGGAAGAUCGUGCUUCGUGCAUCUCCGCUGCGGAUCUCACGAUGACGGAUGGCUGUACGACGUGCGUUCUUCCCUCCUUUGAAACACGACUGACCAGCGACGGGGACGAACGGAAUCACUUCUCUGUACCUUGAUACGAUCUCGUGGGCGUGCGGGGGUGACUGGAGUGAUGGGAUGGGGCCAGAGCCCCAUGGAGUUCGGGUAGACCCGUCUCCGGCCCAGCUCCCCAGCCCCCUCCGCCAUAAAUAUCGCCACUGCUCCUGCCAACGACGCAGAGGGCCACCACGAUCGCGAUGGAGGCCUCUAGCAAUCAACAACAACAACAAAAAGAGAAGGAGUCACGUGUUCACAGGCCUUAUGCCUUCGAUAAGAUGGAGGGGCUGGUGCGGGAGAUGCAAGACCCUCAAAACGGGGUACCCGUGCGCAGCCAAAAACAAUUUCUCACCUCGAUCCCCUCAGCGUUCAUGGGUGAGUGCCAUCGGUACCUGCGUUGUGGCAUAAACGUAAGCGGCCAUCACGGCCAAGAGAGUACAGUAGACUGCCUGCGUGUUGCAGGUUACGACCUCGUCGAGUGGCUUAUGGAUCGGCUUUCCAUCGAGGAAUCAGUAGAGGCGCUCCAUAUUGCUAAUCAACUAUGCCUGUACGGCUACUUCUUCCCGGUGAACGACUCCAAGAUGCUUACUGUAAAGGAUGAUAGCUCGCUAUAUAGAUUUCAGUCACCGUAUUAUUGGCCGUGGCAACAUAGAACCCCUGACAACGUGGAAUACGCUAUUUAUCUUGCUAAACGAACAUUACGGAACAAACAACGCCAUGCUCUUGAAGAUUACGAGAUCGAAGCUUUAAACAGUCUACGGAAGAACCUGCAAAAUAAAUGGGAUAUCAUACAACUACAGGCUGAAGAACAGGCUCAGGUACGAUUAGCUAAAGACCGGAAGAAGGGGGAUAAGAUAGUAAGCGAUUCACAGGAAAGAGCAUUUUGGAGAGUUUACCGGCCACCGCCGGGUUGUCUUAGUAGUCUUGAAGUAGUUCCAGGACCAACACGUUUUCGUCCAGGAUUUCCACGGCCUCCACCACGUAAACGCACUGUCGCUGAGUUACAACGAGAGGUGGACUUUCUUCGAAACAGUUUAACACGCACGAGAAUAAAGGUUUCAGCUGCUAUAGAAAAUUUGAAGUCGUACUUUGAAACUUAUGUGGAAUACGACCCAAUGUUCGUACAUCCGCAACCUUCCAAUCCUUGGAUCACCGAUGACAGUACAUUUUGGCAGUUGAAUAAUCCACUAGUGGAAAUUCCUACGGAAAAACGUGUAAAACGAUGGGCAUUAUCGAUGGAAGAACUCAUGUCUGAUCCAACAGGCUUGCUAGAAUUCACGAAUUACCUGAGAAAAGAAUACAGUCAUGAGAAUAUUCGAUUUUGGGUGGCCGUUAAAGAUUUGAGACACAGUUAUCAAGCUCAAAUAACGGAAAAGGUCAACGAAAUUUUCAAAGAAUUUCUGGCGCCGGGUGCUCCUUGCGAGAUCAACAUCGAUGGAAAGACAAUGGAAAAGGUCCAUCAAGAAAUGAAAAAUCCCAGUAGAUUUACCUUCGAUUCAGCUGCCGAGCACGUAUAUACUCUACUUUUGAAGAAGGAUUGCUACCCCAGAUUUAUUCGCUCGGAUCAAUAUCGAAAUCUUUUAGCAGCCGGCAUACAGCCACUGCAAAAGAAAAGAUUUUUCAGCUUCGGUGGUCAAGCAAAAAAGAAAAUGGCAUCUAGCGUGAGUACAACGACGAGCACGUUGCAACAACAACAACAACAACAGCACGGUGGCAAUAUUGGAACCAGUGGAGGUGGUGGUGGUACUGGUGGUGGAGGUACUAGAAGAAGAGGAAGCGAUCGAAGCAUCUCGGGAUCAGCUCACGAGCUUGCCGUUUGUGGAGUACGUGAAAUAAGUUCUACGCCAAGAGUGCCGCAUUCUCAUAGCCAAUCAAAUCUCACCGAUAUUCCAUACAGGGGUGAUCUGGCGCGACUCCUAAAGAUCCCUACGAGGCCUAGUCCACAUAGUAUUCAGGAUGCUGGCGCCACGGAGGCGACAGUUCGCCCUAUGGACGACGUUUGCCCUUGGGACGCGAUCCCAGGGCCAAGUACAGAUGCCGGUCAGGAUGCAGCACCGUUUGGAACGAGCCCGUGGCCUGACACGUCUACGGAUCCCUGGGAAUACGGGAACGACGUAACCAAAACGUCGAUACAUUUCAUCGACGUGGCUCGUCCAUCUCGAAAGAAUUCCUCUCAGCUGGACUCCUGCAGUUCCUCUUCCGAUGUCAGUCUGGCUAUUGCGGAGGUCUCCGACAGGUUGAGAAAGUCCUGCAGCCUUCAGCACAGUUCUGUCCCGACUGCUAUGAUGGAACGGCAUGGUAUUGGUUCUGGAUCGGGUGGGCAUACCAUUACCAGAAAUUAUUCCACUGGCUCGACCAGCAACAGAGUCAAACUCUCGGAUAUAGGUCGCCCAUUGGUCACCUCGUGCAACUUACCAUCGCCUCUAGAAUCAUUCGAAUAUAGUCACGCAGCUGGCGAGAAGUUCGAGGCGAUAAUUUGUCAAACAACGAUCGAAGAACCAGAAACAUCAACGACGUUAGAUACAACGCAACAAAUGGAUAAAGUUGUUACAAUAGAAGAAACGAAAAAAACUCUGAGAAGGUCAUCAGCGAAAGCACCAUUGAUAAGUAUCAGUGCGAUCGUCGGCGACUUGCCAAGUGAUUUUGAGGUGGUUGGAACAACAACUGGCGACGACAUUUGUCCGCCAACAAGAGAAACUAAAAUGGAAAUUGAACUGUUCGAAGAUAAAAACGUAGAAGAAACAGAACCAGAAAGGUUACAGGAAAAAGAAAAGGAAGAAAAAGAUGAGAUAAAAGAAGAAGAAGAAGAAGAAGCAAAAGGAAAAGAAGAAGAAGAAAGAGAAGAAGAAGAAGAAGAAAGAGGAGGAGAAGAAGAGCCGUUGGAAAAGGAAGAUGACAAAAUAAUGAAGGAAACACAAAAGAAUGAAUCUACUGAAGAGGCUCAGGUUGUUCCUGUUUGGGAGCCGGACACCCAACAGGAAGACCAAAUGGCACCAACGGUCACUGCAACCACCAGUACCGUGCCCACUCGGGAUAAGCGUGACAAUAAUGUUAACGAAGUGUGCCCGUGGGAGGAUGAGUAUAAUUUCUCGUAGAGGCGUAGAAUCGAAGACUCCGAAAUGGAAGAUGAGACGCGUUAUAGUUGAAGGGAGAACUGUAGAGUGGAUACGACCUAUGUAAAAACGUAUGCGACAUUAGGUUAUUUAUAACUUGGUGUUAACGUUCUAUGAUAUUGCAUUUUACACUUAAAACACCUAUUCGUAAAUUUCGAUUACCAUUAUUCUCAAACUAAUCCGAUGAUCUCGAGUGCAUGAGCUAUCGUGGGUUUUACGAUUUAACUGUGUCAUUUUUAAAAUCGUAUUGGUGUUGUUGAUUGAAAGUGAACAGAGAAAAAGUUUAAGAUCGAUUAAUAAGAAUUCGAUGAGUGCACCGUCGAUAAUGAAGAUUCAUGAUCUUCUUAAUAUGUAUACAAGAAUAUAAAAAUAUGCUCGAUCUACGAAUAUAUAAAUACGACUGAUAUGAACGAUCAUUAAGAAAUCUUUCUUUUCCUUUAUGGAUUUAAAGAUAUAAAAUACAAAAUGAUCUAUGGCCUAAAAAAAAUUUUCUUUAUCUAUACCAACAUUUAUCGAUUGAGCCAUUACGGCCAUUUAUUAUGGCCAUUUUUUUUCUUUCCUUUCUUAAUAUAAGAUGAGAUGUGUUAAUUAAUUUCCUUUUUUUUCCUUUCUAUUUAAUGUUAUUCAAACUACUUAAUAUUAACGAAAACGUGUUGUUAUACAUAAAGCGUAUUAAAGUACAUAUCUAGACUAUAAUAAAUAUGUGGUAGUGAUGCGUAGUACAACCAUGUUUCUGUGUCGAAUAAAAAAAAAAAAAGAAAAGAAAAGAAAAAAUAUUAAUCGAAGAUAUUUACUACGAUAUCGUUCGUUAAGCGCUUAAAAUAAAAUAAUAGAUGAUAUUUGAAAGAAAAAAAAAAUAAAAUUCCAUAUCGAAACUUAUUCGAUAUUUAAUAUACCGAACAAAUUUGAUUUUAAUUUUUGUCCAUUAUAAACAUGACCUUUGGAUGCCAGUCAAUAAUGAGCCCCUUGACUGCACGCAAAGACCAUGAAUUUUGUCAUUAAUUUAUUAUUAAUUUAUAUAGAUAAAUUAUAUAAUUUCAAAACUUUCUAAAUAACGAUGCAAAAAAGAAAUCUUAAUUUUUUUUACAUUAAAUAUUAUUUCGUUCGAUCAAUUCGAUCCAACAUAAUUAUAUAUGAUCAUUUCCUAUCCGAUUUUCUAAUUUGUCGUUGAAAUAAAAAAAAAAAAAAAAUAAAAGAAAGAAAAAAAGAUAAAACAAAAAGCUAACGAUGUCAACGUAAACACAUUUCUUAUAAUUCGUGUUAGAAAUAUUAACAAAUGUUGCGCUGUUAAAAUCCUUCGAUAUUAUUCUAUAACUAAUAAUCGUUUGUCCGCUGCUUAAGCGUCUAAUUAAAUAUUAUCGAUACGUUAGUCCUCUACUUGUUAGUUAUAAAUAUACGAUUAAGAAAAAAAAAAGAAACAAAAAAAAGAAAAGAAAAAAAGAAAGAGAAGAAAAAAUCCCUCCAGCCCACCCACCUCCAAAAAAGAAAAAAGAAAAUAAAGAAACAAACAAAAAGGGAGCGAGAGAGAGAGGGAGAGAGACAGAGAAAAAAAAAGGAAGAAAACUAAUGCAUUGCGAUUCCAAUUAAAACUUGGUUAAAAUUGAUCGUCGAAGGAACGAUUACACUUGUAAUAAUUUAGAGCCUAAUCGAGUUAUCACGUUGAAACGUGCAAUAACUUUUAAUGAUUUAUAAUAUAAUAAUUCUCGAUGAAAUCACAGUUGAUCGUAUGAUUGCUGGAACUGAAACUGCCCCAGAGCCAGGAGUCUGCGAUAUUAGAUUAUAAUGAUUUAAACUUAAUCAUAUGACACGAACAUCCACGCACGCACAAAUACACAUGUGCAUAUAUAUAUAUAUAUAUAUAUAUAUAUAUAUAUAUAUAUAAAUGUGCAUGUGUAUGAACGCAUGCAUGCGUGUAUGUGUGUGUAUAUAUACACUUUAUACAUCUUUCUCUCUAUUUUUCUCGUAACUGUGAAUCGAAAUGAAAGCCUAGUAAAUGUAACGUCGAUGUUUCUUAAAAACGAAAUAAUUAUAUAUAAUGAUGAUAUACAUACAUGCACACAUAUAUGUACAUAUAUAUAUGUAUGUAUGUAUAUGUAUAUAUAAAUAUAUAACGUUGUGUCUGUGUCAGGAUAAAAAUUAACGAAAAAUUCAUUAGAACGAAAUAGCCGAGCUACCAUUAAAACAAUGUAAGAUCGAUGCUUUAUUUACUUAUUUAUUUAUUUAUUUAUUUAUUUAUUCGUUUAUUGAUUUAUUUUUUUUUCUUUUUUAAAUAUCUUUCUUUAAUAGUUUAUAAUAAUAUUUCUGUUUUUCUAUUCGUAAUUCGAUCGUUCUGAUUCGGUCGUUGAUUAUCGAAGUUACAUGUCGGCUAAUGUAAAUGAUGAGAAAUAAUAUAUAUGAUGAUUCGAUGAUAGAUAAACGAUUUUGAUUGUUAUCAGAAAUAAAUCUGAUAUUUUUAUUGGAGACUUUCGAUAGUUCAUGCACUUGAGAUCCAUUAUACAUACAUACAUACAUGCAUAUAUGAGAUAUAAUGAGAUUUGAAAUAAAUAAUUCUGAAGAAUGCACUGUUAAUUCGCAAAGUCAAGGUUAAGUCUUGUAACAAUUCUUACUAUAGAUAACAAUCAAUAAGAUGACGACAAACCUGACACACGAGGAGAAAAAAAGAAAUAAAAUGAAGGAAAUAAGAAAAAAAA